GAUGAACGCUGGCGGCGUGCCUAAUACAUGCAAGUCGAGCGAAUGGAUUAAGAGCUUGCUCUUAUGAAGUUAGCGGCGGACGGGUGAGUAACACGUGGGUAACCUGCCCAUAAGACUGGGAUAACUCCGGGAAACCGGGGCUAAUACCGGAUAACAUUUUGAACCGCAUGGUUCGAAAUUGAAAGGCGGCUUCGGCUGUCACUUAUGGAUGGACCCGCGUCGCAUUAGCUAGUUGGGGAGGUAACGGCCCACCAAGGCAACGAUGCGUAGCCGACCUGAGAGGGUGAUCGGCCACACUGGGACUGAGACACGGCCCAGACUCCUACGGGAGGCAGCAGUAGGGAAUCUUCCGCAAUGGACGAAAGUCUGACGGAGCAACGCCGCGUGUGUGAUGAAGGCUUUCGGGUCGUAAAACUCUGUUGUUAGGGAAGAGCAAGUGCUAGUUGAAUAAGCUGGCACCUUGACGGUACCUAACCAGAAAGCCACGGCUAACUACGUGCCAGCAGCCGCAGUAA
rnacentral:rRNA from 1 species